rnacentral:rRNA from 1 species
AAUCAACGCUGGCGGCGUGCCUCAGACAUGCAAGUCGAACGAUUAAACUUUCCUUCGGGAAAGAUAUAAAGUGGCGCACGGGUGAGUAACACGUAGGUAAUGUACCUUUGGGUGGGGAAUAACCAUCGGAAACGAUGGCUAAUACCGCAUAAUGCAGCGGCAUCGCAAGAUGACAGUUGUUAAAGAUUUAUCGCCUAAAGAGCAGCCUGCGGCAGAUUAGGAGUUUGGUAAGGUAAUGGCUUACCAAGCCUGCGAUCUGUAACCGACCUGAGAGGGUGGUCGGUCACACUGACACUGAAUAACGGGUCAGACUCCUACGGGAGGGCAGCAGUCGGGAAUUUUGGGCAAUGGGCGAAAGCCUGACCCAGCAACGCCGCGU